CUCUACGUCUCACUCACCUGCACAAGUCGCGAAGGUGCCUGUCCUACACAAGCACACAACGUGCCGCACGUGCUUCGUGUGGGUGCGGAUUCAGAGCGCAGCCGCUGCGUGGGAAGCCAUGGCUGACGCAGCGGCGCGGGAGCGCAUACUACGUAUGCAGCUGUCUGCGGCGCCGCUGCAAGACGUCUACGGUGCCUUUUCCCCGUGGCAGCACCUCUCCACCUCUGUUCCUGAGCUUGACUCUCUCCUCAGCGUGGCGGGUGUAUGUGGAGGUGUCUCUGGCAGCGACGCUGGGAGCGGCACCGAGUCGGCCAUUGGUGGCCUCCCUGUUGGUGGUCUUCACGAGCUCUACGGACCGCCCCUGUCCGGCAAGUCGUGGCUACUUCGUCGUGUUGGCGCGGCCUACGUGCGGCGCAUGACGAUGUGCCGGCAGUGGUACCAUGACGAGCUGGAGCUGGCGUCGAAGUGGGCAGUGGAGACGCCGAGAUCCACGCACACGUAUGAUGAUGAGGCACAUGCAAAGAAGGAUGAUGAAGGCCUGUGCAGUGAGGGGGAGGUCGCCGACACUUGGGCAGACUCAACCGGUGCCUCGCCUGUGACUGCGAUGGAGGAAUGGGAUCUUUAUGUGUGUCUGGUGAGCGGGGCCGGUGCUAGCAGCACGACGCACCAGCUCACAGCAGCGCCGCCGUCACCCUCGCUGCUGUCACCCGAUGUGCGGAGUUGGGUGGAGGAGCUUGUUGCCCCCUUUGACUCCUCUUCAACCCUAGAUAGGCAAGGAGAAGCCUUUGUUACCGGGCCUGCGCACUACCAUGCAUCGGAGCACCGACGGCAGCAGCAGAGAGACUACGCCGAGCAGCACAUCCACUUCUGUGUUGUGCGUUCCCCCAAUGAGCUUCUCGCCUUCCUUGAGCACCUCAGCGGCGAUGCGGCAUUGGCGCCAUCCGCGGGCACGACCUUCGCAGAUGCAGCCCCCUCUAUCGUUCCUCCUGCACCUCUUGUAGCGUCGCAGCAGCAACUCUCAUCAUUACAGUUGUCCUGUGGUUCUUCGGCCACGACAGCGCGAGGGCAGAAGCGGCGUCGCUCUCCACGCACCGCGGUGUCUUCCUCCUCAUCGGUUUCUCCUUUCCGUGGAAACUUUCCACAGCGCACCUGGCGGCUGCAGCGGCAGCGACUGCUCCUGCUCGACGGCCUCGAUGCGCUGUGGCUGCACCCCAGCCUGGGCAACCACUGCGCCACCCACACAGGGCAGUGGUUUGCCGAAGAACUGCAUCGGCGAUUGCGGGCAGUGGUGUUGCCGCGGCUUAGCUACGCUGCCUCAAAUAGCGCCGUUCUGACGCCGUCAUAUGCUACCGCUGCUGCUUCUCCGACGUCUUCGCACCCUUAUCACACGCUCUACUCCACUGUGGUUUUCACAAAUGGCUGCAAUGGCAGCAGUCGCGGUAUUCUGAAUCCGCAGCAACUGGAGGCUCGCCUGGCUGGGCCAGUAGGAGGAGCGAAGGGCUGGAUGGCAACGCUGCCACGGCCCUCGGGAAAUGCGGUGUGGUGCAGGGCAGCGGACACGCGAUGCUUGGUCGAGCCGGCGCACCCGGGGCUGGUGUCGUUGCCAACACCCAGCUCCUCCUAUGUGUGUCCAGCGAGGGUUUCGCACGGGCCAGGCGCCAUGCGUCAAAGCAGCCGUGGCAUGGCCAAGACCUUUGGCCCGUCUAACACCAACUCUCUAGAGUCUCUCGUGACGGUGGUGAAGGGAGGCUCGCGCGUGGCGGCAACGUGGUUACUACGUGACGUCGCGGGCGGCGCGCAAGAAAGUUGAGGUGCGAAUCUCGUGCGCACUCUAAGCGCGCACGCCUUAUCGUACUCUCCCCUGCGCGUACCCUGGGGCGUCGCAUCUCGUAGCGUUGAGCCAUCCGUGAGUAAUGUCUUGGCCACUUCGUCUCCCCUUCUUCUCCCCCAG
rnacentral:misc_RNA from 1 species